rnacentral:lncRNA from 1 species
GUUUCAAUAGCUGGGUAGCGCCUCGAUUUUUCUCAUAAUUUGUAAAGUUGGCCAUUAGUAGGUAUGGGAUCGUUAUCAACUGAUUUUUUAAAAAAAACAUUAAUGUCUCAACAAUAUUUUUAUCUUGUCCAAAAGCAAUAGAAAGUUACAAAUGCCUGUAUCACAUCAAUCAGGUGUAGUAUGUAAGUAGGUGGUUGCCAUAACUUCUAGUAAGAACUUAUAGACCGAGGAAAAAAAUAGCAGGUACACAAAUCCAUCUCGUAUUCACGUAAGGUCCGAGAAAAGUUAUAAUUUACGAAUUGUGAUAUAUAUAACCAGUGGCGGAGCCACCCUUAUUCACGCUCUUUCACCGGAAAAUAAUACUGUGAUAGUUAUUUUAGGUAUAUUUUUCUUAAAAGUUGAAUAUUUAGAACGGGUUGAUAAUUUUUAACACAAAACAAACUCUUAGGUCAAUGGUUAAGGGAUGUCAAAAAUAUAGAAGGUUGCGAGUUCCAUUCCCCAUAGGAGCAAUUUUUUUUUUCCGACAUCUAAUUCCUGGCUCCGCCACAACAACUUUACCGUUACCCAAGACUUCUUCUUAACAUAAAUAAAGAUAUAUGGGGAAAAAGUGCACAUAAAUA